UAAGCGGAGGAAAGAANCUAACAAGGAUUCCCCUAGUAACUGCGAGUGAAGCGGGAAAAGCUCAAAUUUGGAAUCUGGUGGUCUUUGGCCAUCCGAGUUGUAAUUUAGAGAAGCGUCUUCCGCGCUGGACCGUGCACAAGUCUCCUGGAAUGGAGCGUCAUAGAGGGUGAGAAUCCCGUCUUUGGCAUGGAAUCCCAGGGCUUCUGUGAUGCGCUCUCGACGAGUCGAGUUGUUUGGGAAUGCAGCUCAAAAUGGGUGGUGAACUCCAUCUAAAGCUAAAUAUUGGCGAGAGACCGAUAGCGAACAAGUACCGUGAGGGAAAGAUGAAAAGCACUUUGGAAAGAGAGUGAAACAGUACGUGAAAUUGUUGAAAGGGAAACGCUUGAAGUCAGUCGCGUCGACCGAGACUCAGCCUUGCCUCGGCUUGGUGUACUUCUCGGCUUGACGGGUCAGCAUCGAUUUCAAUCCUCGGAUAAUGGCAAGGGAAAGGUAGCACCUUUUUAGGUGUGUUAUAGUCCUCUGUCGCAUGCGAGGGUCGGGAUCGAGGAACUCAGCACGCACCUCAGGGUGUCGGGCCUUGGCCCACGUUUACGUGCUUAGGAUGCUGGCGUAAUGGCUUUAAACGACC
rnacentral:rRNA from 1 species